GUACGGGACUGGGGGCAACUCCAGUUCAGUGGCAGACGGGUGCGUAACACGUGAGGAACCUGACCGACGGUGGGGGAUAGCCGGCCCAACGGCCGGGUAAUACCGCAUAUCCUCAUUCGGGGGCAUCCCUGGGUGAGGAAAGCAGCCGCAAGGUUGCGCCGACGGGGGGCCUCGCGACCUAUCAGCUUGUUGGCGGGGUAACGGCCCACCAAGGCGACGACGGGUAGCUGGUCUGAGAGGAUGGCCAGCCACAUUGGGACUGAGACACGGCCCAGACUCCUACGGGAGGCAGCAGUGGGGAAUAUUGCGCAAUGGCCGCAAGGCUGACGCAGCGACGCCGCGUGUGGGAUGACGGCCUUCGGGUUGUAAACCACUGUCGGGAGGGACGAAUACGGGGCGUCGAAUAGGCGACCCUGGGUGACGGUACCUCCAAAGGAAGCACCGGCUAACUCCGUG
rnacentral:rRNA from 1 species